rnacentral:rRNA from 1 species
UGGGGAAUAUUGCACAAUGGGCGCAAGCCUGAUGCAGCCAUGCCGCGUGUGUGAAGAAGGCCUUCGGGUUGUAAAGCACUUUCAGCGAGGAGGAAGGUGGUGAGCUUAAUACGCUCAUCAAUUGGCGUUACUCGCAGAAGAAGCACCGGCUAACUCCGUGCCAGCAGCCGCGGUAAUACGGAGGGUGCAAGCGUUAAUCGGAAUUACUGGGCGUAAAGCGCACGCAGGCGGUUUGUUAAGUCAGAUGUGAAAUCCCCGGGCUCAACCUGGGAACUGCAUUUGAAACUGGCAAGCUAGAGUCUCGUAGAGGGGGGCUAGAAUUCCAGGUGUAGCGGUGAAAUGCGUAGAGAUCUGGAGGAAUACCGGUGGCGAAGGCGGCCCCCUGGACGAAGACUGACGCUCAGGUGCGAAAGCGUGGGGCAGCAAACAGGAUUAGAUACCCUGGUAGUCCACGCUGUAAACGAUGUCGAUUUGGAGGUUGUGCCCUUGAGGCGUGGCUUCCGGAGCUAACGCGUUAAAUCGACCGCCUGGGGAGUACGGCCGCAAGGUU